AUGUUAGCUUCAGCAGCACAUAUACUAAAAUUGGAAUGAUACAGAGAAGAUUAGCAUGGCCCCUGCACAAGAAUGACACAUAAAUUUGUGAAGCAUUCCGUCUUUUU
ensembl:snRNA U6 U6 spliceosomal RNA